UAUUGCACAAUGGGGGAAACUCUGAUGCAGAGACGCCGCGUGAGUGAAGAAGUAUUUCGGUAUGUAAAGCUCUAUCAGCAGGGUAGAUAAUGACGGUAACUGACUAAGAAACACCGGCUAACUACGUGCCAGCAGCCGCGGUAAUACGUAGGGGGCAAGCGUUAUCCGGAUUUACUGGGUGUAAAGGGAGCGUAGACGGUGAUGUAAGUCUGGAGUGAAAGGCGGGGGCCCAACCCCCGGACUGCUCUGGAAACUAUGUGACUGGAGUGCAGGAGAGGUGAGCGGAAUUCCUAGUGUAGCGGUGAAAUGCGUAGAUAUUAGGAGGAACACCAGUGGCGAAGGCGGCUCACUGGACUGUAACUGACGUUGAGGCUCGAAAGCGUGGGGAGCAAACAGG
rnacentral:rRNA from 1 species